UACGUAGGGUGCGAGCGUUAAUCGGAAUUACUGGGCGUAAAGCGUGCGUAGGCGGUUCUCCAAGUCCGUUGUGAAAGCCCCGGGCUCAACCUGGGAAUGGCAGUGGAAACUAGGGGACUGGAAUCUGGCAGAGGGGGGUGGAAUGCCGCGUGUAGCAGUGAAAUGCGUAGAGAUGUGGAGGAACACCGAUGGCGAAGGCAGCCUCCUGGGCCAGCACUGACGCUCAUGCACGAAAGCGUGGGGAGCAAACAGG
rnacentral:rRNA from 1 species